rnacentral:rRNA from 1 species
UCUAGCUAGUCUACCAGCAAACGACUUUUAGUUUGCCCACCCGAAACUAAGUGAGCUACUUUAAAAUAGUUUCAGAACUAACCCGUCUCUGUUGCAAAAGAGUGGGACAAUUUUAAAGUAGAGGUGACAAACCUACCGAACUUAGAGAUAGCUGGUUAUUUAAGAAAAGAAUUUUAGUUCAGCCUCAAGCUUUUUCCCAUUAAACAAAAACUCACCUUAAGCUUAAGAGUUAUUCAAAUAAGGCACAGCUUAUUUGAAACAGGAUACAACCUAGAACACAGGGUAAGAUACAUAAAAUUUUAGCAAGUAGGCCUAAAAGCAGCCAUCUUUUAAAAAGCGUCAAAGCUUAGUACUAAAAAGUCCAUUAAUACUCUCAACAACUUCUAACCCCCAUUUACUAUUAAAUAGUCCCAUAACAUUAUGGAAGCUAUAAUGCUAGAACAAGUAACAAGAAAAAGACUUUCUCCAAAGUGUGAGCCUAAGCCAGAAUAGACAGACUACUGGCAAUUAACGUAUAUAAACCGAUUGUAGCAACACUAACAAGAAAACCCUACACUUUUAACCGUUAAUCUAACACUAGCACACUCAUGGAAAGAUUAAAAGAAGGGGAAGGAACUCGGCAAAUAUUGACCCCGCCUGUAAU